GACGGGUAGCCGGCCCUGAGAGGGCGACCGGCCACACUGGGACUGAGACACGGUCCAGACUCCUACGGGAGGCAGCAGUGGGGAAUAUUGCACAAUGGGCGCAAGCCUGAUGCAGCGACGCCCGCGUGAGGGAUGAACGGCCUUCGGGUUGUAAACCUCUUUCAGCAGGGAAGAAAGCGCAAGUGACGGUACCUGCAGAAGAAGCGCCGGCUAACUACGUGCCAGCAGCCGCGGUAAUACGUAGGGCGCAAGCGUUGUCCGGAAUUAUUGGGCGUAAAGAGCUCGUAGGCGGCUUGUCGCGUCGGAUGUGAAAGCCCGGGGCUUAACCCCGGGUCUGCAUUCGAUACGGGCAGGCUAGAGUUCGGUAGGGGAGAUCGGAAUUCCUGGUGUAGCGGUGAAAUGCGCAGAUAUUGUCAGGAGGAACACCGGUGGCGAAGGCGGAGAUCUCUGGGCCGAUACUGACGCUGAGGAGCGAAAGCGUGGGGAGCGAACAGGAUUAGAUACCCUGGUAGUCCACGCCGUAAACGUUGGGAACUAGGUGUGGGCGACAUUCCACGUCGUCCGUGCCGCAGCUAACGCAUUAAGUUCCCCGCCUGGGGAGUACGGCCGCAAGGCGAAAACUCAAAGGAAUUGACGGGGGCCCGCACAAGCGGCGGAGCAUGUGGCUUAAUUCGACGCAACGCGAAGAACCUUACCAAGGCUUGACAUACACCGGAAAACCCCUGGAGACAGGGUCCCCCUUGUGGCCGGUGUACAGGUGGUGCAUGGCUGUCGUCAGCUCGUGUCGUGAGAUGUUGGGUUAAGUCCCGCAACGAGCGCAACCCUUUGUUCUGUGUUGCCAGCACGUCCUUUUCGGGGAUGGGUGGGGACUCACAGGAGACUGCCGGGGGUCAACUCGGGAGGGAAGGUGGGGGACGACGUCAAGUCAUCAUGCCCCUUUAUGUCUUUGGGGCUGCACACGUGCUACAAUGGCCGGUACAAAAAGCUGCGAUACCGCGAGGUGGAGCGAAUCUCAAAAAGCCGGUC
rnacentral:rRNA from 1 species